UACGGAGACCCCUAGCGUUGUUCGGAAUUACUGGGCUUAAAGCGGGUGUAGGCGGAACGGCGAGUACCGUGUGAAAGCCCCGGGCUCAACCCGGGAACUGCUCGGUAUACUGCCGUUCUUGAGGCAGGCAGGGGUCACUGGAACCUUAGGUGGAGCGGUGAAAUGCGUAGAUAUCUAAGGGAACGCCUGUGGCGAAAGCGGGUGACUGGGCCUGUUCUGACGCUGAGACCCGAAAGCGUAGGGAGCGAACGGGAUUAGAUACCCCAGUA
rnacentral:rRNA from 1 species